rnacentral:rRNA from 1 species
CCUACGGGGUGCAGCAGUGGGGAAUAUUGCACAAUGGGGGGAACCCUGAUGCAGCGACGCCGCGUGGGUGAGGAAGUACUUAGGUAUGUAAAGCCCUAUCAGCAGGGAAGAAAAUGACGGUACCUGACUAAGAAGCCCCGGCUAACUACGUGCCAGCAGCCGCGGUAAUACGGAGGGGGCAAGCGUUAUCCGGAUUUACUGGGGGUAAAGGGAGCGUAGACGGCGUGCCAAGUCUGAUGGGAAAGGCGGGGGCUCAACCCCGGGACUGCAUUGGAAACUGGCAUGCUGGAGUGCCGGAGGGGCAAGCGGAAUGCGUGGUGUAGCGGUGAAAUGCGUAGAUAUUAGGAAGAACACCGGUGGCGAAGGCGGCUUACUGGACGGUAACUGACGUUGAGGCUCGAAAGCGUGGGGAGCAAACAGGAUUAGAUACCCUGGUAGUC